UUUCUUUCGGUGUUCGGCACAGGAAGGUUUGAGCUUCCAGGAGGGCGUUUCCAAAGAAAG
rnacentral:tRNA from 1 species